GCAACGCGAACAACCUUACCUACCCUUGACAUGUCCGAGAGCCUGCUGAGAGGCGGGUGUGCCCGAAAGGGAAUCGGAACACAGGUGCUGCAUGGCUGUCGUCAGCUCGUGUCGUGAGAUGUUGGGUUAAGUCCCGCAACGAGCGCAACCCUUGUCCCUAGUUGCUACGCAAGGGCACUCUAGGGAGACUGCCGGUGACAAACCGGAGGAAGGUGGGGAUGACGUCAAGUCCUCAUGGCCCUUAUGGGUAGGGCUUCACACGUCAUACAAUGGCCGGUACAGAGGGUUGCCAAGGCGCGAGCCGGAGCCAAUCCCCAUAAAAGCCGGUCGUAGUCCGGAUUGCAGUCUGCAACUCGACUGCAUGAAGUCGGAAUCGCUAGCAAUCGCGGAUCAGCAUGUCGCGGUGAAUACGUUCCCGGGUCUUGUACACACCGCCCGUCACACCAUGGGAGUGGGUUCUACCAGAAGUAGGUAGGCUAACCGCAAGGGGGCCGCUUACCACGGUAGGAUUCAUGACUGGGGUGAAGUCGUAACAAGGUA
rnacentral:rRNA from 1 species